GGGAGGCAGCAGUGGGGAAUCUUGGACAAUGGGGGGCAAACCCUGAUCCAGCCAUGCCGCGUGAGUGAUGAAGGCCCUAGGGUCGUAAAGCUCUUUCGCCUGUGAAGAUAAUGACGGUAGCAGGUAAAGAAACCCCGGCUAACUCCGUGCCAGCAGCCGCGGUAAUACGGAGGGGGUUAGCGUUGUUCGGAAUUACUGGGCGUAAAGCGCACGUAGGCGGAUCGGAAAGUUGGGGGUGAAAUCCCGGGGCUCAACCCCGGAACUGCCUCCAAAACUAUCGGUCUAGAGUUCGAGAGAGGUGAGUGGAAUUCCGAGUGUAGAGGUGAAAAUUCGUAGAUAUUCGGAGGAACACCAGUGGCGAAGGCGGCUCACUGGCUCGAUACUGACGCUGAGGUGCGAAAGUGUGGGGAGCAAACAGGAUUAGAUACCCUGGUAG
rnacentral:rRNA from 1 species